rnacentral:rRNA from 1 species
CAGCCGCCGCGGUAAUACGGAGGGUGCAAGCGUUAAUCGGAAUUACUGGGCGUAAAGCUUGCGUAGGUGGUGGUUUAAGUCCGUUGUGAAAGCCCUGGGCUCAACCUGGGAAUUGCAGUGGAUACUGGGUCACUAGAGUGUGGUAGAGGAUAGUGGAAUUUCCGGUGUAGCAGUGAAAUGCGUAGAGAUCUGGAGGAAUACCGGUGGCGAAGGCGGCCCCCUGGACAAAGACUGACGCUCAGGUGCGAAAGCGUGGGGAGCAAACAGGAUUAGAUACCCCAGUAGUCCCUGUCUCUUAUAC